UCAGUGUUUAUUUGGUUUGAUUACAGGUAAUGGAACAGGAAGGUUGUGUGGUGUUUGAGCUGGUCAUUUUGUAUAGCGUUUUGUCAAGAGCUCGUGCUAGUUCUGCGGGGAAGUGAAGACUCCUUGCGGCCAUCACCGGACCGCGGAGUUGGAGAAGCCACUAUCAAUUGCCAGCUGCAUUGUGCAGCAUCGGCAGUGAUGGCAGCGGUGGAUGUCGACCGGAUCCUUCAGUACGCUAGGAAGGAUAAAGUGGAGGAGCUACAAGCAGAGAUACUUGAAGAUGGUGUUCUCAAAGAAGAAAUCAAAUUCCAAACUGAUGACUGGAGCGGAGGACCAUUAUUGGCAAGGUUACUGAAGGAUGCCUGUAGCUACAAUGCUACGUCUGUUGUCAAGUUCUUGGCAAGCACUGUUGACAAACACAUGCUGAACCAUCACGGGUAUUACAGUUUCACUCUUUCUCCG